UACGUAGGGGGCAAGCGUUGUCCGGAAUCAUUGGGCGUAAAGAGCGCGUAGGCGGCCCAGUAAGUCCGCUCUGAAAGUCAGGGGCUCAACCCCUGAAUGCGGGUGGAUACUGCUGGGCUAGAGUCCGGAAGAGGCGAGUGGAAUUCCUGGUGUAGCGGUGAAAUGUGCAGAUAUCAGGAGGAACACCGGUGGCGAAGGCGGGUCUCUGGGCCGAUACUGACGCUGAGGAGCGAAAGCAUGGGUAGCGAACAGG
rnacentral:rRNA from 1 species